UUACAAAAGCUAGAACAUAGGAUGCUUGUAACAGAGUCCUUACAUCUGCUCACAAAAAUCUUUACAUCUUGAUUCCUAUCCCUAUGAUCAUUACAGAACUGGACCCUACCAUUAUACUGAAUAAAGGAAUAGUUUCAGCAGCAAAUUCUGGAAGACACAAAUGGCCAGCAAGUGUUGAUUUCAUCUAUUUUACAGUCAGGGAUGUAAAAGUCUGGGAUUAUCUACAUUAUGUGCCAAAAUAACAAUGGAUUUGGGUGCUAUGUCUCUUGGUUUGGAUGAGUUGGAGGAGGACAGCUUUGGCUACUUUGCCGUAGGCAACAGAAUUCCUUGGGCAGCUCUGAUCAGUGAAAUAAAGGACAGGGCUCCUGUACCUCGAAUGGUUGUGUAGAAUGGCCUAUGUUCCAUGAACUGCAGCCAGCACCAUCUGAAAUUCCCUUUCCAACUCAACUAUUAAAGGCAGCCUCUUAGCAUAACUGGAACACACAGUGCAUUUUAACACUCAAACCCAUUGGGGACAGAGGAAUGAACCAAGGACGGAACAUUGUCACAGGCAAGCUUCCUCCCCCAGCUGCUGCCAAAAAGACUUUUCACAACCAGAAUGAAGUUAGGAUCUCCAUCUUGAAAAUUUGACUGGAUCUCUAAAGAGAGGACCCCAUUCUACUAGCAAACUGGAGCACGAAUGAAUGACUUUUCCGUCAGGUUUGAGUGGGUUGGACCAGGAGAUCUUACUUAAGUAUACUUAACUAAGUAGCCAGUGUAAACUAUUGACCAAAAGUACGGUUUAUAAUUAAUCACCUGGUAAUGGAAAAUGUUACACUUUUUUAAAUGCAUGAAGCUGAUAGGCCAGUUUGCUGCUGCUUAAACAUGUGCUUAAAAAUGAGCUUAUAAAAGUUAUGAAAUAGUUGAGGUUAAAAGUGUUGUUAUCCCAUCUUAUUUCCAGUUUGCAAGAAAUGCUAAAAGGCUAGUUUUACUUUCAUUAUGCUCCCUAUUCUGUCUUUCCUAAGGGAAAAAUUUUGUUUUCUAUUGUGGCUUUUUAACACUCCUAUGGAUGCCUUUCCAGAUGUCUCUACAGAAGGGCAUGUAGCACCAGAGACUUUUCGGUGUUACAUAUGUAAUGUUUUUCCUUGCAAGUGCCCAAACUAACAGCAACAGUCCAGCCCUGGAAAAUCACAGGUGGGAUGCCUGCUAAGAAAGAAAAGCAAAUGAGAAAGGACAUCAGCUAUGUUCCAGUUGACAAGACAGACCUCUACGCAAGACCUCAGUCACACAUCCAGGAGAUUAAAGUUGCUGGCAGAGAGGAAAAACAGAUGUGAAGAGGCUGUAGAAUUAUGAUUGAACAUUUAAAGCAGUAUUAAUAGGAUUCGCAACAAAAUAUUGCCACCUGGGGUGCCCAUCUAUGCGCUCUUUUGAGAUAUGUCAUUCCUUUCCCUCUCUGUUCACUAUUAUUUCCCCCCUUCCAACAGUCAGCCAGCACUCUGUGGAUACUGAGUAUGCUCAGUCUGCACUGAGCUACUUCUGAGCCCUUUGCCUUUAGCACUUUUCCUUAUUUUUUUUAAGUUCUGCAAGCCAUGCGGUUUUCUCAAGCCUGUUGAGACCUUGUUCAUAUUUAUGUGAUGGGAGGGUACCAUUUUGGCUACAUAAUGAUAAGCACUUGGAUAAUAAGUUGGAUAAUAAGACUCAGCAUGGCAAAGUGGUUUGAGUGCUGGACUAUUACUCUGGAGACCAGGGUUCACCAUAAAUUUCCAGCUUACCCAUAAAACCCACUGGGUGACCUUGAGCAAGUCACAUGCUCUCAGCGGCAGCCCCAGGGGAAGGCAAUGGCAAAUCUCCUCUGAACAAAUCUUGUCAAGAAAACCCCAGAAGAGGCUCACUAAUCCAUACAUACAUCUGUAUGGAUGGAUUAUAUACAUACAGAUGUAUGUAUGUAUGUAUGUAUGUAUGGAUACAGAUGUAUCCAUACAUACAUCUGUAUGUAUCCUGUCUGUCUCUCUGUCUGUCCAACCACGUAUGUAUUUAUCUACCC